UUUCCGUAGGUGAACCUGCGGAAGGAUCAUUAAAGAAUUUGCCCCGUCCUCUCGAGGAUGGGUCCUCUUCUAAACCGUGUAUACAUACCUUUGUUGCUUUGGCGGGCCGCCGUCUCGGCGUUGGCUUCGGCUGACUGUGCCCGCCAGAGAACCCCAACUCUUCUGUUUAGUGUUGUCUGAGUACUAUAUAAUAGUUAAAACUUUCAACAACGGAUCUCUUGGUUCUG
rnacentral:misc_RNA from 1 species